UCUUUGGGCUACCGCCAUACCACACUGAACGCGCCCAGUCUUGUCUGAUCUUGGAAGCUAAGCAGGUCAGCCUGGUUAGUAUUUGGAUGGGAGACAGAUCUUCAGAGGAGACUGCUCAGAGAC
rnacentral:rRNA from 1 species